UGCAAGCGUUAUCCGGAUUCACUGGGUUUAAAGGGUGCGUAGGUGGGCAGGUAAGUCAGUGGUGAAAUCUCCGGGCUUAACUCGGAAACUGCCAUUGAUACUAUCUGUCUUGAAUACCGUGGAGGUUAGCGGAAUAUGUCAUGUAGCGGUGAAAUGCUUAGAUAUGACAUAGAACACCAAUUGCGAAGGCAGCUGGCUACACGAAUAUUGACACUGAUGCACGAAAGCGUGGGGAUCAAACAGG
rnacentral:rRNA from 1 species